GGGAGAUUUGGUUUACAUAUGAUUCUUAGUGAAGGUUCCUUGCCACAGUGACAGGUUUCUUCUGAAUAUCAGGUGCCGGGGUCAGGCAGGGGAAGGCCAUUGCUUCCAUGUUCUCCUCCCAGAAGCUAUUCCCAGCAGUUGUGCUGAAUGAGAUGGACUUUUGGAAUGAUGCAGCAAGGCAAUUCUGGAGUUCCUUUCCCCUCCUGAACUUCUUGCAUAGGCAUGACCACUUCCACCUUACCUGGUUUCUGCCCUCUCUCCCUUCCCUCAGGCUCCAGGACCUUUACUAGCCCCUGUGCAGUCUCCUCUGGGGAAUCUUGCUCCAUUGCGUGGGUUUGUAGGUGCUCCAGCGAGUGCCCUCUGUGAUGUGCUUCCUGAUGGAAGAAGCCCAGUGGAACCGAGAGAACUGGCCCAAACAGUUGCAGUGCCUGACAGUUGCAAGAAGAGCCCGUUUGAAUCCAUGGAUGGUGCUAAAGAAGCAGUCGCGACAGCGGUGGUGGCAGCAUCUUCCUUGAGCCACUUGAUCCUUGAUGGAACAGAAAAGGAAGACGGGAGCAACGAGGUGAGUCUUGUCUUGGAGAAUAUUCUGGAUGCGGAAGAGUUAUCUCCAGUCCUGGGCAGCCCAAAGUUUGGGUUGAGCAGGGCCACUGUUGAAAGCGCUUGGAAGCAGAAGGACAACAGCUCCUCAGCCCAAGAGAAGGAUGUGAGUAAAGGUGACUUAAAAGAGGAGCAAAGCCAGGGAUCAGCAGAGGCGACCGAAAGGGACAUUUGGGCACCGGGAAGGGAGAGGAGCAAAAGUUGUCCCAGUGAAGCUGAAGCAGAGGCAGCUGGAACAGAUGCUGAUAUCUUACAGGCAGAGAGAGCUGCACCACAUCCAGUGAACUUUGAUCUGCCAGACCGGUCAUGCCCAGAGAAUUCUAAGGCUGAAGAUAAGCAAAUGGAGCCAUGGAAGAUGCAUACUGGCGAUUCCUUGGAGGAAAUGAGCAUACUGGAGCAGACUAACCUGAAGCAGACAAAGAUACCUUUAGGACAAGAAAAAAUGGUUCAGAUCCAAAGUUUGCAGAAAGAAUUGUGGCAAAAAGAGGAGGAGGAAAAGCAGAGGAUCCAGAUGCUCUGUCAGCAGAAAGAAGAUGCCCUACAGUUACUCAAAACCGAGUUGGACAAGGCCAGGCAAGAAGAGGAGCUGCGCUUAAGAAAGGCGUCAGAAGAGGAACUCUGGAAACUCCAAACCCAAAUCCAUUCUGAAACAGAGGCAGAAAAGGAGCGAAUAAGGCUGUCACAGGAGGCUGCACUGCACAAAUUCAGAGAGGAGCUGGAAUCAUUUCAGCAGACUCAGGAGGGCCAGCUGAAAAAGCAGAAGCUGCUUUUUCUGGAAAAAAUGAAGAAUGAAGCAGAAGCUGUUCAGCAGGCAGAACAGAUGAUCUUGGAGCAGGAGAGCAAGAGAGACCUGAGUGAGCUAAAGGAGAGGCUGUGCCAAAAAAAGGAAGAGGCCAUGCGAGAACUGGAGGUGCAGCACGCAGCAGAGAUGCAGCAACAGCAGUCUGUGGCAGAAGAGGAACACCAAAAGGUCGUCUUGGCCCUCCAGAUACAGAUUGCAGAGGCCCAGAGAAGGAAGGAGGCUGAACUACAAAAGGAGCUGGAGGAUGCAGAGCAAACAGUCCAGCAGAAGAGGCAGCAGAUACUUGAGUAUGAGCAAGAGCUCAGUGACCUCCUGAAGGAAAAGCGACAAGCGGUGGAGAGAGAACACAUGAGGCAGCUGGAGAGGAUGCAGGAAGCACACCAAGCAGCCCUGGCUGGGUUGCAAGCACAGCAGGAGGAGGAGGAGAGAAAGCAGAGAGCUGAGCAGGAGCGCUUGAGGCUGCUCCAUCAGGCGGAGCUUGAGGCCCUGCAGAAACAGCAGCUGGAGCGGCUGAAGGACUUGCACAAGAGCUGCCAGGAGCAGGAGGAAGCCUGGAGGAAAAGAAGGCAGCAGUUCCUGGAGGAAGAGAAGCAGCUGGAGCACGAGAGAAAUGAAGCCGCUGUAGCAGCUCACAUCUGUCUUGAGGUGUCUCAAAAAGAAAAGGAAGAUCUUGCAGCGACCACGCGGCAGCUGCAUGGGGCCCUGGGGGAGCUGCAGGCCCGGAAGACAGAGCUGGAGUCCCAGGUGGAGGGGCUGGAGCUGCAGAGCCAGCGACUGCAGCAGCGGGUCAGUGCCCUGGAAGAGGCCAUCGAGAAGAAGCAACAGCUGCUGAGGGAGCUAGAGGAGGGAAGAGCUGAAGCAUCCUCUGGGGAGAAAGAGGACGUGCUCCGAGUGGAAGACCUGCAGGAGAGCGGGCCAGCUGGCAGAGAAAACAGGCAGCCCUCGUCCAGAGAGAUGGCACCUGAGUCUCCAAAGAGCAAUGAAGAAAGCAGCCUCCUCCUGGAUCAAAUGCGCCACUACAUUUCUGCUGAAGGAGCCUCCCUAAAGACUGCCAAGGAGUUCCUGGUGCGCCAGACACAGUCCAUGAGGAAAAGGCAGAGCGCCCUGAGUACAGCCAAGCAGUGCUGGCGCCACGACCUGCAGAGGACGCAUGGAGCCGCUCAGGACCUCGGUUGCACUCAGAUGCUGGAGGGCGUGCGCCAGAACCUGGAAGAGGAGGGGAGGCAGCUGGAUGAGAUGAGGUCUGCCAUGCGGAGGGGCCAAGCACUGCUGAAGAAGAAAGAGGAGAAACUGAGCCAGCUGGAGUCCUCACUCCUCGAGGAGAUCUCCGAUGAAGAUACUCUUAAGGGAGUGGCAUGCAAGAAGGUGGUGACCUUUGACCUCAGUGACUCGGAGGAUGCCAGCAGUAUGAUGAGCACUGACGGCUUUCCCUGCAAAAUGGACUUGAAGCCGGAUCUCCAGUUCCCCCCCUUGGACAAAAUCCAUUACUUGACCGACUCACUCCGCCGCAUCACCAGAGACCUGAACAGUGUCCUUGGCCUCCUGAGCAACUUCAGCAACCAGCAGCCUCUCUUCUUCACGUCCAGCCAGAGCCCGGUGUCCUCAGGGCCCAGGGAUGGCAUUCCUCUUGCUGCUUACACCUCUCUGGCGCGUGUUCAUUCCGCCACUCCGCUUCUGCCUCCUGCUGGGCCUCAGUGGGCCUGGGGAACUGGCUCAGGACAGAGCGCUGCUGCCGUGGCUCACCACUCCGUGGACUGCUUGCUGACGGAGAAGUGGCACAAGUACUUUCCCGGUAAGUUCUCAUUGCUCUGUAGAAGCCCUGGACCUCUGGAUAGCAAGCUGGGCCAUGUGACAUCUGGGGAACAAGUCCAUCGGUUCCAGCAGCCACAUUUACAGGGACCUGAGGCUGAAGGGCCAAACAUCCAGGGCAUGAUUGAAGCCAACAAGAAGUGGCUGGAGAGUGUCAGGCAGGAUUCCAAACUGUAUCCUUUUGCUCAGGCAUUGCUGUUGUGGGAACAGAAUCCUGGAAGAGAUAGCCGUUUGGUCGAUAGACCCAAUUCAGCAUGGUUCUUCUUAGGACUAGAAGCCACGUUCUUUUGCUUUCCUUCACCUAAACUGCUAGUCCUCUCUUGCCAAGUGUGCCACAGUCCUCAGCCAGUGGCACUGGUUUGGUGCAGCUUGGACUGGAUGAGAACAACCAAAUCAAGGUCUACCACUUCUAGGCACGUGGGUGAAGCCUGGUUGGAAAGCUGAUCAUCAGGCUGAAAUUCCCAGCAGCAAAGCCUUGAUGUUCUCUCGGAUGACAAUAUACCGCAUUAACCCUGUACCUGGCAGCUUCUGUGCAUGCUUUCUUGGGCUUUGUCAAGGCCACAAAGCCCGGCUCUUGGAGAUAUUUUCAAGAAAUUCAUAACUAGUUGCUUUCUUGUUAGCUUUCUGUUAUUCUGGAAAAUGCCCAGCAGGCGAAAUCGCUUCUUGAGGGAAGGAGGUGAGUUCUGAAAGGAGGACAGGGGCUGCCCAGCUGCCUUUCCAUGCAGGUGCACCUGGGAGCACAGAAAGCCACAUGCUGCACGAAGCAAGCACUUGGAAGCCUCCGCACCUUGGCCAGUGCCAUUGCCUCCCCCUCCUCCAUGCUGAGUGUGGCAUGCUUCUUCCAUGCAUUCCGCAAGGCUUUACCUGAGGGAAGAGCUGCUUUCCAAAGCGCCCCCCCCCACACGCACGCUCGGCUCCCCCCAGUCUCUCAGUUGGGUCUGCUGCCGGCUGGGCGAUUGCUGGGCCAUACUGGCUUUGCCCAGCAGCUGUUAAAUGGUGCCAGGCUGGCUGUGAACGGGUGAAGGAAGGGCCGCAAAAGACUGUCCGGCUCAAAACCUCUGCAUCGUCCCGUUUUACCGGAUCCGCCAGACUUUAAGAUCUUGGCAGUUCCUCUCGGGGCUUGGGGACUGUCACCCCAUUUGGGCAGCAGCUGAGAGCACUCGGGUUGCCUGCAGGGGGGCUGCCACAUGUGGCUUCCCAUGCAUUGUUGCUCAAGGCCGGCACAUUGCUUGCCAAAACUGCCUCUGGGAUAUUUCGGGGUUUUUUUCCUCAUCGUCCUUGUAGGCAAUGUGGGGCCCUUCCUUGGAGAGUCCCCCUUCUGGCAGCCCCUCUCGGCUCUCUUCCCUCUGGUGCUGACACCCCACCAUUCAGGUGGGCCUCUGCAGGAGCUGCCUGGACAGGAGAAAGGACUUGCUUUGGCCUGUGUCAGGGGCUGUGUUGUGGCAAGUGAACUGGUACAGGGCUCAGCUGUUGGCUAUAUUUUGUAUACCAAUUAAAUUUUACUUUUCUAUACAUCUCUGGUGCUUUUUGUCCCUCCUCCGCUCCUGCAGCCACAGUGUGUGCCCUUCUGAGAGUCGCAUGUGCUCGCGUUUCCGUGCUGGCCACUCUACUUGGGCUCCUCCCACUUUCCCUGUUGCCAGAUUGCUGUUUGAAAUCAAGAGCGAGGCUGGGUGGGGUGAGGGAGUUCUCUUACCCCUUGCCCUGCUGACAUGUAUCUGCCAGACUGAAUGAGAUGGCCUCCAGAUGCCAAGCAACAAGUGCUUUGGCUGGCUGUGGAAUUCGGGCUUUUGACAUGUAGCACAUGGGAUGCUUUGUGCCGUGGAGCUGCCGACGGCCCCUUGCUCAGACUGCAAUCCCCGGGAGAGCAAGUGAAGCCAGCAUGCCUCCCUCUGUGCUGCUCGCCCCGAGCUGCGCACCUCCUCCCGCCCAGUGCGCUGCGUGGGGAUGACAGCGCAUGCUCGCACAAGUCCCAGGGGAUCGGGGGGGGGGGGAGGCAGCUGUCUCCGGGCCCAGUGGUGACGAUUAGCCGCUCCCAAGGACGGCACAGCCGGCUUUGCAGGCAGGGCAGGCCGUCUGCUUAAGCUUAUUAGGGGUGCCUGCUGCCAGUUCACCUUGUUGCAGCCAAGAUAAGCUCAUCGCAGAGACCUGGGGAACACUGGCCUCUGGCGUGGCUUCUCGACUUUUCUGCCAUGCUGGCCACACUGAUGACUGGGCUCUACUUCCUCGUGAAAGCCUUGGGGCAGCUUGGCAACAGCCUGGUCCAGGAGGAGCCGCUGCCCUAUCUCAUCCACCAGCCCCUGCCGUGGCAGGUCCAGUACGUGACGCAGAGCCGCCGCGCCAGCCGAGACAGCGGGAAGGGGGUGAGUUCUCGGCACAACAGCAUCUAUGGGAUCGCUGGACGGAGAGGUGACUGCAGUUCAGUGCCCAGCAGCGCAAGAGAAGAUCUGCAUGAUCCAACUGAGAGAGCUCCUUUAACUAUCCAGGCUCACUGCUGCAGUAAAUACCAGCAACACGAGCAUGACAAUUAGAGUGCACUUCCAAAUCCUGCCUACUUUGAAAUCAAGGGGAACCUGCUUUCAGGUGACCAGCGGGGGUGACAUCGGUAUGACUUCUGGGGCACCCCUCACCUCAGACGUGGCACACCCAGUUCACCUGUCUUUAGAGGCAGCUUUCCUGUGUAGGCUGAAUGUUCCCAACAUGGUUUCAAAAAUUUUUGAGUUUUCGGAAUUGGCCACGGGGGUCCUAACCUCUUGCUGAGUUCUGUGGAAGGAGGUUGCUGCGCUGAAUAGGGGAGACUUUUGUGUUCAGCAUGGGGACCCCUUUCUAGAAGGGGUUAGGUUUUAAUACAAAUUGGGCUUCCAACCAAGAGCCAUGUUAAUGGCACCAGGGAAAAGAUACCCAGUACAGUAAUAGCAGGAAAGGCUAGAUGCUUCGUUUACUUGAACACAACCGUUUUCAGAAGGAAAGCAAAGCACCUGGGGCAACAGACCAGCCUGCAUUUAGCAACCAGCAACUCCGCUGUUGUGAAGUUGGCUUAGAAAAGCGGCCCUGCUCAUUUGUGGCGCGUGCUUUCUGCACUGCCCUCAUCCCGGGUGCAGCCAUCGCCGGGAGCAUCACGUCAUACACCGCAGAAGUGCCGCAAGCGGGUAGCCUAAUCCUUGGGCAUGCAGUGUGGAAGUUCCCACUGUUCUUUAAGAAGAAAAAAGUGGCAGCCACAGCUUCCCCACUCCAGUCUUCACGGCACCAUUUGAGUCUCCUCACCUCACUUGGGAAGGAGACUAUCACUUCAGCAUAAGUAAUUUAAAAUUCAUUGGUGCUUAAGAGCUUUAGGUACUAAAGCCUGCGCAGCUUCUCUCUGACAUGUCUUGGGUAGAUAGGCUGACGAUUUUUUUUUCUAGAUUGGAGUGCACCCAUCCAGGACGUGGCUCUGGGAGAGCAGGCACUGAUCGACUUGGCAGAAAGCUGAGGCUGAGCACCGGUAUUGCUGCCACAGUGUGCUUCCGACAUGUCCCUUCUUUUCUACACUUACCGUCUGCCGUGCUAAGCAAUGAGCAGUUAUUUCCCAGGGUGGGGAAAUGGUGAUGUCAUCAUUCCCUCCCUGACAGAUCUUUCUCCACAUUGCAUUGAUUGGUGAGGGAGUGGUACCUGUCUGCAGGACAUGGCCUGCUGCAGGAUGGCCCCGGUCAUGCUCUUACAGGUCUGGCUCACCUGAAACAAAGGCCUCUGAUAUUAUAGAAACAUAACUUUUAUUGCACACUGCGCUGGCUUUUUGUUUUUAUAGAAAAAGGUAUUAACACAGAGGCAGAUGCAACUCGAAGCAAGUCCCAUGGUUUUCCAAACAGUAAAACAACAUGCAAUGUCUCAAAAGAGUCUCUGCAAAACCUACAGGGGUUGCUCAAUCAGGGACAGAGGAUGGGGAGGGCAUGCGCACCCUCAGCUGUGGCGCCCUCUUCCAAGACAUCGUGGGACAAAGAGCAACACCUUCAGUAAAAGAUUCCUAAAUGC